rnacentral:rRNA from 1 species
AGCGAACGCUGGCGGCAGGCCUAACACAUGCAAGUCGAACGCCCGGGGCAACCCGGGAGUGGCAGACGGGUGAGUAACACGUGGGAACGUGCCCUUCGGUUCGGAAUAACCCAGGGAAACUUGGGCUAAUACCGGAUACGUCCGCGAGGAGAAAGAUUCAUCGCCGAAGGAUCGGCCCGCGUCGGCUUAGCUAGUUGGUGGGGUAAUGGCCCACCAAGGCGACGAUCGGUAGCUGGUCUGAGAGGAUGAUCAGCCACACUGGGACUGAGACACGGCCCAGACUCCUACGGGGGGCAGCAGUGGGGAAUAUUGGACAAUGGGCGCAAGCCUGAUCCAGCCAUGCCGCGUGGGUGAUGAAGGCCCUAGGGUUGUAAAGCCCUUUCGGCGGGGAAGAUAAUGACGGUACCCGCAGAAGAAGCCCCGGCUAACUUCGUGCCAGCCGCCGCCGUAA